rnacentral:rRNA from 1 species
UACGUAGGGUGCGAGCGUUAAUCGGAAUUACUGGGCGUAAAGCGUGCUCAGGUGGUGCGCUAAGACAGAUGUGAAAGCCCCGGGCUCAACCUGGGAACUGCGUUUGUGACUGGGGGGCUAGAGUGCGGAAGAGGGAGGUGGAAUUCCACGUGUAGCAGUGAAAUGCGUAGAGAUGUGGAGGAACACCGGUGGCGAAGGCAGCCGCCUGGUCUGUCACUGACGUUCAUGCACGAAAGCGUGGGGAGCAAACAGG